UAGCAGGAUAGUUACAGUGCAGCUUGUGUGGUGCUGUAUUGUCGUUCCCCCUGCUAACAGUAACAUGUUUCCAGCUAUCCCUGUCUGUCUACUUCCUCCGACAACCAGGGACGCAAGGUUUCAGACAC
ensembl:snoRNA SNORA63 Small nucleolar RNA SNORA63